rnacentral:tRNA from 1 species
GCCGCUGUAAUUUAGCCUGGUAGAAUGCCUGUCUCAUGAGCAGGAUAUCGUAGGUUCAAAUCCUACCAGCGGCA